CACGUAGGGCGCAAGCGUUGUCCGGAAUUAUUGGGCGUAAAGAGCUCGUAGGCGGUCUGUUGCGUCCGCUGUGAAAACUCGGGGCUUAACCCCGAGCCUGCAGUGGAUACGGGCAGACUAGAGGUAGGUAGGGGAGAAUGGAAUUCCCGGUGUAGCGGUGAAAUGCGCAGAUAUCAGGAGGAACACCGGUGGCGAAGGCGGGUCUCUGGGCCGUAACUGACGCUGAGACGCGAAAGCGUGGGGAGCGAACAGG
rnacentral:rRNA from 1 species